rnacentral:siRNA from 1 species
AUCAUUCAUUGGUGGAAGAGUCAC